ensembl:lncRNA
AGGGUAUGGUGGAGGAUAAGGUGGAUGGUAUGGUGGAGGGUAAGGUAGAGGAUAAGGUGGAGGGGUAUGGUGGAGGGUAAGGUAGAAGAGAAGGUGGAGGGUAAGGUAGAGGAUAAGGUGGAGGAUAAGGCGGAGGGGUAUGGUGGAUGGCAAGGUGCAGGAUAAGGUGGAGGGUAUGGUGGAGGGUAAGGUGGAGGGUAAGGUGGAGGGUAAGGUGGAGGAUAUGGUGGAGGGUAUGGUGGAGGAUAAGGUGGAGGAUAAGGUUGAGGGCAUGGUGGAGGAUAUGGUGGAGGGCAUGGUGGAGUAUAAGGUGGAGGGUAUGGUUGAGGAUAAGGUGGAGGAUAAGGUUGAGGGCAUGGUGGAGGAUAAGGUGGAGGGUAUGGUGGAGGGUAAGGUGAAGGAUAAGGUGGAGGAUAAGGUGGAGGGUAAGGUGGAGGAUAUGGUGGAGGGUAUGGUGGAGGGUAAGGUGGAGGAUAAGGUGGAGGAUAUGGUGGAGGGUAUGGUGGAGGGUAAGGUGGAGGGUAAGGUGGAGGAUAAGGUGGAGGGUAUGGUGGAGGAUAAGGUGGAGGAUAAGGUGGAGGAUAAGGUGGAGGGUAUGGUGGAGGAUAAGGUGGAGGGUAUGGUGGAGGAUAUGGUGGAGGGUAUGGUAGAGGAUAAGGUGGAGGGUAUGGUGGAGGAUAUGGUGGAGGGUAUGGUAGAGGAUAAG